UACGUAGGGGGCAAGCGUUGUCCGGAUUUACUGGGCGUAAAGCGCGCGUAGGCGGGGGAGCAAGUCCGGUGUGAAAGCCCCCGCUCAACUGGGGAAGGUGCGCUGGAAACUGUUUCUCUUGAGGGUGACAGAGGGAAGUGGAAUUGCUGGUGUAGCGGUGAAAUGCGUAGAGAUCAGCAGGAACACCCGUGGCGAAGGCGGCUUCCUGGGUCACCACUGACGCUGAGGCGCGAAAGCGUGGGGAGCGAACGGG
rnacentral:rRNA from 1 species